rnacentral:rRNA from 1 species
AGAGUUUGAUCCUGGCUCAGAACGAACGCUGGCGGCAGGCUUAACACAUGCAAGUCGAGCGCCCCGCAAGGGGAGCGGCAGACGGGUGAGUAACGCGUGGGAACGUACCUUUUGCUACGGAAUAACUCAGGGAAACUUGUGCUUAAUACCGUAUGUGCCCUUUCGGGGGAAAGAUUUAUUCGGCAAAGGAUCGGCCCGCGUUGGAUUACUAGUUGGUGAGGUAAGGCUCACCAAGGCGACCAUCAUACUGGUCUGAGAGGAUGAUCAGCCACUGGGACUGAGACACGG